UACAGAGGUGGCAAGCGUUGUUCGGAAUUACUGGGCGUAAAGGGCGCGUAGGUGGCCUUCUUAGUCAGACGUGAAAUCCCCAGGCUUAACCUGGGAACUGCGUCUGAUACUGGAAGGCUCGAGUUCGGGAGAGGAAUGUGGAAUUCCAGGUGUAGCGGUGAAAUGCGUAGAUAUCUGGAGGAACACCGAUGGCGAAGGCGGCAUUCUGGACCGAAACUGACGCUGAGGCGCGAAAGCCAGGGGAGCAAAGCGGG
rnacentral:rRNA from 1 species